GAACAAGAUAUAGCCAAUAUGACUCACGGCAGGUGAGAGGACACAGCUGGAGAAGAGCAAGUCCAGGCUUCCGCUUCCCUUGGGUGGCUGACUUCUAGAUCUGCAAUGCUUAAUCAUAAAAAAAAGGAAGCAAUGGUUGAGGACAUUAAAUGAGAAAUGUGUCUUCAAAGUACCUCGCCUGAAGAGCCAAGAUAAUUUACCAAGCCCGGAAAAGGGCAAGAGCACAUCAGGAUCAGGAUGGACACAACAGAGCUCAGUCUUGAGAAACAAUCGCAGGGGCAUCGUUACAUUUAUCUGGGUCUUUCUUCAUCUGGAGGACUUCCACUGCUGCCGUUCACUGCAGGAUUGGCCGGUGAGACGUGUAAGGAGAGACUUGGCUGUGUUACCCAUAUAAGGAGCCUCCUAGAGGCAGCCCUGCAGCCCUCAGGUAGAUACAGCAGCUAGAAAGGAGGGAAGCGUUCCCCUGCCUUAGGAAGAAUUCUUGGCUUAACUCCUCCCCUGGAGCCCCCUCCUCCCACCUAGCUGAGGAGGCCAACUUGUGCGGGGAAACUCCAAGACUGGCAGAGUUCCUGUGUGUAUACUGCAGUAGGAGCCCCGAGUAAGGCACUGGAGGGGUCAUGGGAGGCUGAAAACUAGGUGGUUAGGCUGCAUCACCCGAAAGCAAGAAGCUUGCUUUUGAAACAUCUUUUGGGGGGAUGGGGGACUCUUUAUAAUUUAAAUUUAGUAGGCCUAUACUUUCCGUACAAUAGCUCCUAUUGCAGGAUAUUGUAGUUAUGAGAUAAUCAUCUAAUUUGCAUUCCUUUCUAGGAUGCAAUCUGUACCUUUGAUUUGAAAAAAGAACAGAUUGGAUUUUCUUCACCUUUGUAUACCCAGGGUGUCUGGGGUCUGGCAUAGAGCACAUAAAGGACUUUUGUGCAGAGGAACGGAGAGAUAGUGCCUACGGAUUUUAUUGUUGGCAACUAGGUUUCCAAAAUUGUUCCAGAAGUUAGUGACUUCUUUGUAAAUUUUACGCACACAG
rnacentral:lncRNA from 1 species